rnacentral:lncRNA from 1 species
UUCGGAUCAGCCUGCCUGCACCAAGGUGAAAUAAACAGCCUUGUUGCUCACACAAAGCCUGUUUGGUGGUCUCUUCACACGGACGUGAGUGAAAUUUGGUGCUGUGACUCGGAUCAGGGGACCUCCCUCGGGAGAUCAAUCCUCUGUCCUCCUGCUCUUUACUCCAUGAGAGAGAUCCACCUACGACCUCGGGUCCUCAGACCAACCAGCCCAAGGAACAUCUCACCAAUUUUAAAUCGGCAUAGAGAUCCAUAUUACUGUUAUUCCCAUUUUACAGAAGAAACAGAUGAGGUGCAAAGAGAUUAACAAGGUGAUCCUCAAAGAGAGAGAUUCUUCCCAGAUUGUUGCAACCUACGUGGUUUGAGAUGAGCUAUGUCACAUCUUUACCACAGUCCUCACCAGUGACUCACCGGCUUGAUGCAAGGAAAAGGCUUUGUCAUGUGAGCCUAGUGCCCGGCUAUUACUUUUCAUCAAGGAUAGAGGCAGCAAAGUUUCCACAGGGUUCCAUGAAGUAAAGCCUGCUGGGGAGCCAAGGGGACUCAGCUUCCCUCACCCCUCACCAAGGCCUGAGGUCACUCCUUGUAAUUAGCCAGGCAUGGUGGUACGCACCUGUAGUCCCAGCUACCCAGGAGGCUGAGGAAGGAGAGUCGCUUGAACCCAGGAGGCAGAGGUUGCAGUGAACCGAGAUCAUGCCGCUACACCCCAGCCUGGGCGACAGACCAAGACUCCCUCUCAACAACAACAACAAAAAAGGAGUCUCAAGCCCACAAUUAAUUUCCAGAAAAUUGACUUUUUAAAUUUGACUUACGUGGCCAUAUGCUGAGAGACAAGCAGAGAGGAGAGACGCCGUUUACCUGACGUUCCUUUUACCUGUUCAUAUUCAUUUCUUAGAUCUGCUGCAGCAAAGGACCAGAACUGACAAUAUUCAAAGAACAGAACUGUAUUCUCUCAGUUCUGAAGGCAAGAAGUCCGAAAUCAAAUCGUGGGAUCAGCAGGGCUGUGCUCCCUCUCAAGGUCUUGGGAAGAGCCCUCCCUUUUCUCAUCCCACUUCUGAUGGCUCCCAGCAGCCUUGGAGUUCUUGGCUUGUAUCUACACCAACCUGUGCAUCCCCCAUCAUGCGACACUUUUCCCUGUGCGUUGUGUAGCCAUGUUUGAGUCUCCCUCUCCUUUCUCUAAUAAAAGGACACCAGUUAUUGGAGUUAGAAUCCACCCUGAUCCAAUGUAACCAAUUUUAACUAAUUACAUCUGCAAAGAUCUUAUUUCCAAAUAAAGUUCCAUUCACAGGUACUGGGGUUAGGAUUCCAUAUCUUUUGGGGGCAAAUUCGG